UACCGCGGCUGCUGGCACGUAGUUAGCCGGGACUUAUUCGUACAGUACCGUCACUUCCUUCUUCCCGUACAAAAGAGGUUUACAACCCGAAGGCCGUCUUCCCCCACGCGGCGUCGCUGGGUCAGGGUUGCCCCCAUUGCCCAAUAUUCCUUACUGCUGCCUCCCGUAGGAGUCUGGUCCGUGUCUCAGUACCAGUGUGGGGGAUAGUCCUCUCAGAACCCCUAGCCAUCAUAGCCUUGGUGAGCUGUUACCUCACCAACUAGCUAAUGGCACGCAUGCCCAUCUUUAACCGCCGGAGCUUUAAUCUAAAAAUCAUGUAACUUAUAGAUGCUAUGGGACAUUAAUUCCGAUUUCUCGGAGCUAUUCCCCUGUUAAAGGUAGGUUGCAUACGCGUUACUCACCCGUGCGCCACUCUCAUUGGAUAUUGCUACCCAAAUCCCGUUCGACUUGCAUGUAUUAGGCCUGCCGCUAGCGUUCAUCCUGAGCCAUGAUCAAACUC
rnacentral:rRNA from 1 species